UUUUAGUUCUUUUUGCGAAGUGGGCUCGUGGGUUGGCAGUAUGAGAGUUGUAAUGGCCCGACUGUUGAGUGAGGGGGAGCAGGGGAUCCCAACGGCUUGCGCUGCCUUUGCGCAGCAGCCGGCGGGCGGCCACGUCGCGGCCUGGCUGGGGUAGGAGAGGGCGGUCCCCAGUGCAGUUGGGUGAACUACCGUUGCACACUGGAGUUUCUGGUGUCUUUGCUUGGAACUGACCUAGCUCGUGGCAGGGGGAACUCGGCUAGCGGCCCCACAGCCCCUGCUGACUCAAAACAACUGAGUUGUAAGACGUUCAUCGCCGUGUUAUCCUUGAGUAAAGAAGCGGGCUUUUGCCAUGUUGUCCAGGCUGGUCUCUACUCCUGGGCUCAAGCAGUCCUCCUGCCUCAGUCUCCCAAAGUGCUGGAAUUACAGGGAAUGAACUCUGGAAGCCCAGCCAGGGACAAUGCACCUUCACAGAGAUUCUGCACUAAUCUGAGUGAAGGUCUAAGGUUUGGAAUCUCCCCCUCAUGGAGAGAAGCUUUGUAUGGCUGUCAUGCUUAGACAGUGAUUCCUGCAACUUGACCUUCAGGCUGGGAGAGGUGGAGAGCCAUGCCUGUUCUCCUUCCUUGCUAUGGAAUUUGCUGACACAAUAUCUUCCGCCUGGUGCUGGGCAUAUCCUAAGAACUUACAACUUUCCUGUAUUAUCCUGUGUGAGCAGCUGUCACCUUAUUGGGGGAAAAAUGCCUGAAAAUUAGGGGGCACUUCAAGUAGAUAGCUUCUAUUUCCUAUAUUUGUCUUAUAUACAAGUAUUUGCUUUUAUCAAAAUAAUUCCAAUAAAGCAUUUUAAAGUAAA
rnacentral:lncRNA from 1 species